rnacentral:lncRNA from 1 species
CAGCAGCUGCGACGGAUGCAGGACCUACAGGAACACCUUGCGGAGGAGGGCCGCGGCGGCCAAGGUGCGCGCCGUGCCGCCGAAGCGGGUGGAGGCGGUCGCGAUGGGCUCCGCCGCGGAGACGGAGACGCAGGAGGAGGUGGAGGUGGCGGCGACCGGCGGCGUCGUCGAGGACCCCUACGGCGAGGACAGCGCCACCGAGGAGCUGCCCGUCACGCCCUGGGCCUUCUCCGUCGCAAGGUGAGCCGGCGAAUCGCCGCAGGGGUGUGAAUUUGGGAGUCGGAUCUGGGUAGGUGGGCCGUGGACGGGCGGAGGUCUCGAUGCGCCGAUCUGGGUUUAUUUGCUUUUGCUGGUUUGGUGACUCUCGUGUUGAUCCGGGGCUUGGUACGCGGUUUCGUCCGCGUGAUGCUGACGUGUCUAGGAGUGUAGAUGCGUGAGGCUUUUGGCUGUCUAGCUCUAAUUCUACUGUUGCUCCAUUACGUCUAGUCAAAUCUGGUUAUACUUCACUAUUGCUUG